UGAGGUGUUGCUGAGCACCCGCAGGCGCCUGUGUAUCAAUAAACUUGCCUCUUGCUCUUGCAGCCAGUGUCUCGUGUGGUUCGUUCCGGGUUUGGGAUCUGUGGAUCUUUCAUUUUGGAGGUUCCACCGAGAUCCAAGAUCCCGGUUCCGAUCCCGAUCCCUAUCCGGAGGACACCCAACAUCACUGGGAGACUCAUUUGCAUGCUUUGCAAUUGGUCCAGAACGAGGUCUGGAAGCCUCUAGCCGCAGCAUACAAAGAGGAACUUAAAACCCCCUUGCUGCCACAUCCCUUCAAAGUUGGAGACACCGUCUGGGUACGCAGGCACCAGAGCAAGAACCUCGAAUCGCGGUGGAAAGGACCCUACACCAUUCUGCUGACCACUCCCACUGCAGUCAAAGUGGACGGCAUCACCGCUUGGAUCCACGCCUCCCACAUGAAAGCUGCACAUCCACAGGAGUCCGCAGGCACCUCUCCGGAUCCAAAAUGAAAGUUGCAACGCACUCAAAAUCCACUAAAGAUAAGACUCACACGCUGUUGAUUUUCCUUGCUUUGUGCUUUGUAUUUCCCCUAACGGUUGCUAACCAAACUGUGAGCCAGACAUGGCAAAUAUUAUCGGGGACAGGAGAUAUAAUUUAAAACCAAACAUCCACAAAAUACCCCCUUUGGGCUUGGUAACCUGCUCUAAGGCCUGAUCUUUGUUACCUGCUGGCUAAGGCAAAGGACUUUGAUGACCCCAGUGAGGCAGAAGCAUGCGUCUACAGUGGACGCUGCACCUGCGUAGAACAUCCCACAGGGUGUAAAGCAGCUCUAAGGGAGACACCCUUCUACAUAUGCCCUAGGGAUGAAAAAAACCCAGUCACAGGUACAAAAAUGUGGACAACAUGAAAGUUACUAUUGUAAAUCUUGGGGAUAUAAAACUACGAGGGAUAUAUGAUGGAAGCCAGGUUCAUCUGGGGAUUUAAUACAAGUAAAAAAAAAAAAGGGACAAGAGCCCCCACUAUCUUCCGACUCCUGUAGGAGCCUAAAAUGGUACGGGGCAGGGCCAUGCUCCGCGUUUGCCUGCAACCCCUUAAACAUUACCUUUACUCAGGCAGGCAAGGCAUCAAAGGAAUGGAUAAAAAAAAAAACAAUGGGGCCUAAAAAUGUACUUCAAAAAUGCCUACGACCCUGGGGUCCUAUUCAAAAUUAGGCUAACUACUAUAUUAUCUACUGUAGCUGGCCCCUUGAUUAUAUUACUGUUAAUUUUAACCUUUGGACCUUGUAUAUUCAACAAAUUAAUGCAAUUUAUAAAA